GCCUCCAUAGCUCAAUUGGAUAGAGCAUCUGACUUCGGAUCAGAGGGUUAUGGGUUCGAUCCCUGUUGGGGGCGCCA
rnacentral:tRNA from 3 species